rnacentral:rRNA from 1 species
UUCCGUAGGAGUACCUGCGGAAGGAUCAUU